CUGCACUGAUGACUGUAGAUGUGACUGACCUGGUAUUGCUGGCCUCUGGGUCGGCUCUGACCAGGAAAUGACGUUAAUCUUCUCUCUGAGCAG